GGAUUAGUGCAGUGGUUUGAGUGUUAGACUAUGACUCUGGAGACAUGGGUUCAAAUCCCUGCUUGGCUA